rnacentral:rRNA from 1 species
UGGGGAAUUUUGGACAAUGGGGGCAACCCUGAUCCAGCCAUGCCGCGUGAGUGAAGAAGGCCUUCGGGUUGUAAAGCUCUUUUGGCGGGAACGAAAUGGGCGAGGCUAAUACCCUUGCUCGAUGACGGUACUCGCAGAAGAAGCACCGGCUAACUACGUGCCAGCAGCCGCGGUAAUACGUAGGGUGCGAGCGUUAAUCGGAAUUACUGGGCGUAAAGCGUGCGCAGGCGGUUUCGUAAGCUGGAGGUGAAAUCCCCGGGCUCAACCUGGGAAUGGCCUUCAGGACUGCGAGACUGGAGUGUGGCAGAGGGGGGUGGAAUUCCACGUGUAGCAGUGAAAUGCGUAGAGAUGUGGAGGAACACCGAUGGCGAAGGCAGCCCCCUGGGCCAACACUGACGCUCAUGCACGAAAGCGUGGGGAGCAAACAGG